CCUACGGGGGGCAGCAGUGAGGAAUAUUGGUCAAUGGGCGCGAGCCUGAACCAGCCAAGUCGCGUGAGGGAUGACGGUCCUACGGAUUGUAAACCUCUUUUGCCGGGGAGCAAGCGUGCGUUCGUGAACGCGCGUCGAGAGUACCCGGAGAAAAAGCAUCGGCUAACUCCGUGCCAGCAGCCGCGGUAAUACGGAGGAUGCGAGCGUUAUCCGGAUUUAUUGGGUUUAAAGGGUGCGCAGGCGGUCUGUUAAGUCAGCGGUCAAAGCCCGGGGCUCAACCCCGGCCCGCCGUUGAAACUGGCAGUCUCGAGUUGGAGAGAAGUAUGCGGAAUGCGCGGUGUAGCGGUGAAAUGCAUAGAUAUCGCGCAGAACUCCGAUUGCGAAGGCAGCAUGCCGGCUCCACACUGACGCUGAGGCACGAAAGCGUGGGUAUCGAACAGGAUUAGAUACCCUAGUAGUC
rnacentral:rRNA from 1 species